rnacentral:rRNA from 1 species
AUGUUCUUUGAAUGUGUGGUAGCCAUGGAAAUUUGGAGAAAUAUCCAUUCCAUUUUAGGUUACUCACAUCUGCCUGCCCUUAAUAAAGUGGCGGAAAUGUGGAGUAGACAUAAUAACUUGCAAGCUAAAAAUCUGGUUAUUUCAGCUACUCUCUGGGCUAUCUGGAGAUGCAGAAAUGACUUGUGUUUUAAUAACGCAAUUUGGAUGGGUGUGCAGAUGGUUCUGAGAAAGAUUGCAGGAUACUGCAGCAUCUGGAAGAUCCUGUGCAAAGAGGUGGCAAGAGAGCGCGUGGAGGAGAUUACUGUAGCUAUCUGGGAGGCUGCAAGAAAACCACCGCUGCUGCUCUGGCCAGAGCCAGGCUGA